AAUUGUGCUUAAAUUUUCUCUAGCAUAAAACAAUGCAUCAAAUUGCAUCCAUUAUGACAUGUCUUAACAUAUCAUUCAUGCAUUUAGCAUCAUGUUUGCAUUUCAAAACCUCCAAAAUUUCCCAUAAAAGUGGAACCACUUUCAAACUAGAAGCCCAAUCUUCAUUGGCAAACCAGAAGCUCAAUUUUCAUUGGCAAAUCAAAAGUCCAAUCGUCAUUGGCGAAUCAAAGCCCAAUAUCCAUAAACAUCAACUAAGCCCAACAACCAUUGGCAUCCCUAAAGCUUGGUCUUUGUCGGCAUUUCAUGCAUCGAUCACACAUUUCACAUAACAUGCAUUCAUAUCAUGCAUCGAAAGUGAACCAACAAAACACCUAGCAUCCAAAAAUCAUGCACAUAUGGCAUAAAUAAGCAUUUUGUGACCACUCAAGGGAGUCUAGUUAGUUCUUUGUCAAAAGUCCAUUGCUACCAUCAAGAAGGGUUCUUGUCCUAGGGUGACUCGUUAGUUUCCCCAGUAAACAAACAAUCAAUCAAUCCUAGUCUGGUUCAUAAACCAAUGACAUCAUACCCUUGUUUGGUUCAUACACCGGUGAGCAUGAAAAUUUACCAUUGUUUGGUUCAUACCCCUAUGACAAUAUACCCUUGUUCGGUUGAUACACCGACGACAGUCAACCUUUGCCCGGUUCAUACGCGUAUGGAAAUUCCAGGGGCCCAUCUUCAAAGUCUUAUCAAAUUUCAAUCUUCGUUGGCAAACUAAAGCCCAAUCUUCAUUGGCUACCAAUCCUCGUUGGUAAUCCAAAGCUCAGUCUUUGCUGGCAAUUCUUAAAACCAAUCUUCGUUGGUAAUCAAAAUCCAGUCUUCGCUNNN
rnacentral:lncRNA from 1 species